GACGAACCGUCCAAACGUUAUUCGGAAUCACUUGGGCUUAAAGGGUGCGUAGGCGGCGCGGAAAGUUGGGUGUGAAAUCCCUCGGCUCAACCGAGGAACUGCGCCCAAAACUACCGUGCUCGAGGAAGAUAGAGGUGAGCGGAACUUAGGGUGGAGCGGUGAAGUGCGUUGAUAUCCUAAGGAACACCGGUGGCGAAAGCGGCUCACUGGAUCUUUUCUGACGCUGAGGCACGAAAGCUAGGGUAAGCGGAACGG
rnacentral:rRNA from 1 species